rnacentral:rRNA from 1 species
UACGGGGGGGGCAAGCGUUGGUCGGAAUUACUGGGCGUAAAGGGCGCGUAGGCGGUUCGCUAAGUUGGAUGUGAAAACUCUGGGCUCAACCCAGAGCCUGCAUCCAAAACUGGCGGGCUAGAGUUCUGGAGGGGGUAGCGGAAUUCCUGGUGUAGCGGUGAAAUGCGUAGAUAUCAGGAGGAACACCGGUGGCGAAGGCGGCUACCUGGACAGAAACUGACGCUGAGGCGCGAAAGCUAGGGGAGCAAACAGG